rnacentral:rRNA from 1 species
GAUGAAUGCUGGCGGCGUGCCUAAUACAUGCAAGUCGAGCGAACGGACGAGAAGCUUGCUUCUCUGAUGUUAGCGGCGGACGGGUGAGUAACACGUGGAUAACCUACCUAUAAGACUGGGAUAACUUCGGGAAACCGGAGCUAAUACCGGAUAAUAUUUUGAACCGCAUGGUUCAAAAGUGAAAGACGGUCUUGCUGUCACUUAUAGAUGGAUCCGCGCUGCAUUAGCUAGUUGGUAAGGUAACGGCUUACCAAGGCAACGAUGCAUAGCCGGCCUGAGAGGGUGAUCGGCCACACUGGAACUGAGACACGGUCCAGACUCCUACGGGAGGCAGCAGUAGGGAAUCUUCCGCAAUGGGCGAAAGCCUGACGGAGCAACGCCGCGUGAGUGAUGAAGGUCUUCGGAUCGUAAAACUCUGUUAUUAGGGAAGAACAUAUGUGUAAGUAACUGUGCACAUCUUGACGGUACCUAAUCAGAAAGCCACGGCUAACUACGUG